AGUUUAGCCUGGUGUGUACCUGAAAAGGGAAGGAGAGAUUCUGGUCCCAAAUGAGGAUCUAAAUAAAAGCAGCAAAUGUGACAUCCCUGCAGCAUCCCCUUCCAGGGCUGUGUCAGGUGGGGAGUUUGGCUGGGGUGGUACCCCCAUCAAACUAUAAUGCAGGUCUCCUAAGGUGAACUUGGGGAGGAUGGAAACAUCUCAUGGAGGAGAAGGCAAAAGCUUGUUUGGUCUUGACUUUCAGUAUGAAUACAGACCACGAAAGAGGGGCCUCAUGAUCCUUCUGACUUUUUGGGAUUUACCCAAAAU
rnacentral:ncRNA from 1 species